rnacentral:rRNA from 1 species
GAUGAACGCUGGCGGCGUGCCUAAUACAUGCAAGUCGAGCGAACAGAUAAGGAGCUUGCUCCUUUGACGUUAGCGGCGGACGGGUGAGUAACACGUGGAUAACCUACCUAUAAGACUGGGAUAACUUCGGGAAACCGGAGCUAAUACCGGAUAACAUAUUGAACCGCAUGGUUCAAUAGUGAAAGGCGGCUUUGCUGUCACUUAUAGAUGGAUCCGCGCCGUAUUAGCUAGUUGGUAAGGUAACGGCUUACCAAGGCAACGAUACGUAGCCGACCUGAGAGGGUGAUCGGCCACACUGGAACUGAGACACGGUCCAGACUCCUACGGGAGGCAGCAGUAGGGAAUCUUCCGCAAUGGGCGAAAGCCUGACGGAGCAACGCCGCGUGAGUGAUGAAGGUCUUCGGAUCGUAAAACUCUGUUAUCAGGGAAGAACAAAUGUGUAAGUAACUGUGCACAUUUUGACGGUACCUGAUCAGAAAGCCACGGCUAACUACGUG